UUCGCAUGGGGUGUGGAAAGUUUUUCGGUCAGGGAUGGGCUCGCGGCCUAUCAGCUUGUUGGUGGGGUGAUGGCCUACCAAGGCGACGACGGGUAGCCGGCCUGAGAGGGCGACCGGCCACACUGGGACUGAGACACGGCCCAGACUCCUACGGGAGGCAGCAGUGGGGAAUAUUGCACAAUGGGCGAAAGCCUGAUGCAGCGACGCCGCGUGAGGGAUGAAGGCCUUCGGGUUGUAAACCUCUUUCAGCAGGGAAGAAGCGCAAGUGACGGUACCUGCAGAAGAAGCGCCGGCUAACUACGUGCCAGCAGCCGCGGUAAUACGUAGGGCGCAAGCGUUGUCCGGAAUUAUUGGGCGUAAAGAGCUCGUAGGCGGUUUGUCGCGUCUGGUGUGAAAACUCGAGGCUCAACCUCGAGCUUGCAUCGGGUACGGGCAGACUAGAGUGCGGUAGGGGAGACUGGAAUUCCUGGUGUAGCGGUGGAAUGCGCAGAUAUCAGGAGGAACACCGAUGGCGAAGGCAGGUCUCUGGGCCGCAACUGACGCUGAGGAGCGAAAGCAUGGGGAGCGAACAGGAUUAGAUACCCUGGUAGUCCAUGCCCGUAAACGUUGGGCACUAGGUGUGGGGCUCAUUCCACGAGUUCCGUGCCGCAGCAAACGCAUUAAGUGCCCCGCCUGGGGAGUACGGCCGCAAGGCUAAAACUCAAAGGAAUUGACGGGGGCCCGCACAAGCGGCGGAGCAUGCGGAUUAAUUCGAUGCAACGCGAAGAACCUUACCAAGGCUUGACAUGCACGGGAAGCCACCAGAGAUGGUGGUCUCUUUGGACACUCGUGCACAGGUGGUGCAUGGUUGUCGUCAGCUCGUGUCGUGAGAUGUUGGGUUAAGUCCCGCAACGAGCGCAACCCUCGUCCCAUGUUGCCAGCGGGUUAUGCCGGGGACUCAUGGGAGACUGCCGGGGUCAACUCGGAGGAAGGUGGGGAUGACGUCAAAUCAUCAUGCCCCUUAUGUCUUGGGCUUCACGCAUGCUACAAUGGCCGGUACAAAGGGCUGCGAUACCGUAAGGUGGAGCGAAUCCCAAAAAGCCGGUCUCAGUUCGGAUUGGGGUCUGCAACUCGACCCCAUGAAGUCGGAGUCGCUAGUAAUCGCAGAUCAGCAACGCUGCGGUGAAUACGUUCCCGGGCCUUGUACACACCGCCCGUCAGUCACGAAAGUCGGUACACCCGAGCCCAUGGCACGUCGCGGGGGAGUGUCGAGUGGACUGCGAUGAAGCUGUUAAAAAGAGAGUACCGCGAGUAGGUUUAUCCUGGUCAG
rnacentral:rRNA from 1 species